CAGCAGCCGCGGUAAUACGAAGGGGGCUAGCGUUGCUCGGAAUGACUGGGCGUAAAGGGCGCGUAGGCGGCGAUCAAAGUCAGGCGUGAAAUUCCUGGGCUCAACCUGGGGGCUGCGCUUGAUACUUGGUUGCUUGAGUGGGGAAGAGGGUCGUGGAAUUCCCAGUGUAGAGGCGAAAUUCGUAGAUAUUGGGAAGAACACCGGUGGCGAAGGCGGCGACCUGGUCCUUGACUGACGCUGAGGCGCGAAAGCGUGGGGAGCAAACAGGAUUAGAUACCCCAGUAGUCCCUGUCUCUUAUAC
rnacentral:rRNA from 1 species